UAGUAGCGRCGAGCGAAGAGGGAGAAGCCCAGCACUGAAUCGCGCGCCCACUGGGACGCUGCGAAAUGUAGUGUAUAGGAGGAUCCACUAUUCCGCGGUCUGACGAUAUGUCCAAGUCCUUCUUGAACGCGGCCACUUACCCAUAGAGGGUGCCAGGCCCGUAGUGACUGUCGCCGGCUGCGGAAGGGUCUCUCCUUAGAGUCGCGUUGCUUGAGAGUGCAGCGCUAAGUAGGUGGUAAACUCCAUCUAAGGCUAAAUAUGACCACGAGACCGAUAGCGAACAAGUACCGUGAGGGAAAGUUGAAAAGAACUUUGAAGAGAGAGUUCAAUAGUACGUGAAACCGUUUAAGGGUAAACCUGAGAAACCCGAAAGUUCGAACGGGGAGAUUCAGCGGGCCUCGCCGCGCGUGUGUUGCCCGAAUGCACGACAAUCUACGCGAUUGUCAGUUCUCGCAUCACCUCCGCGCGCCGAACGCGUGCAUUUCUCCCCCUGUAGGACGCCGUGACCCGUUGGGUGUCGGUCUGUGGCUCACAAUGGAGCCUGUUCGUCGGCUUCGGUCGUGCGUUCAGACUUGUGACGUCCCGUCCGGCUGCCCGACGGUGUAAUGUUGGCGCAGAGCCGCGACCUAGUCGCGUUCGUGCCGUCGCAAGCGCAGGCGGUUACUCGAUCGUCGGACAUGUGCCGACCUCGGGGCCGGUUGGCUGUUCGCGGCGGUGUUCUCGGACAGACUCUGAUCACGCCUGUUAGCGGCGCUAUAGCUUUGGGUACUUUCAGGGCCCGUCUUGAAACACGGACCAAGGAGUUUAGCAUGUGCGCGAGUCAUGGGGACUAUCGAAUCCUAAAGGCGAAAUGAAAGUGAAAGCUGAGCUUACUCUGUCGAGGGAAGAUGGGUGACUUUUGUCGCCUCGCACUCCCGGGGCGUCUCGUUCUCAUUGCGAGUUGAGGCGCACCUAGAGCGUACAUGCUAUGA
rnacentral:rRNA from 1 species